rnacentral:rRNA from 1 species
GAUGAACGCUGGCGGCGUGCCUAAUACAUGCAAGUCGAGCGAACGGACGAGAAGCUUGCUUCUCUGAUGUUAGCGGCGGACGGGUGAGUAACACGUGGAUAACCUACCUAUAAGACUGGGAUAACUUCGGGAAACCGGAGCUAAUACCGGAUAAUAUUUUGAACCGCAUGGUUCAAAAGUGAAAGACGGUCUUGCUGUCGCUUAUAGAUGGAUCCGCGCCGCAUUAGCUAGUUGGUAAGGUAACGGCUUACCAAGGCAACGAUGCAUAGCCGACCUGAGAGGGUGAUCGGCCACACUGGAACUGAGACACGGUCCAGACUCCUACGGGAGGCAGCAGUAGGGAAUCUUCCGCAAUGGGCGAAAGCCUGACGGAGCAACGCCGCGUGAGUGAUGAAGGUCUUCGGAUCGUAAAACUCUGUUAUUAGGGAAGAACAUAUGUGUAAGUAACUGUGCACAUCUUGACGGUACCUAAUCAGAAAGCCACGGCUAACUACGUGCCAGCAGCCGCGGUAAUACGUAGGUGGCAAGCGUUAUCCGGAAUUAUUGGGCGUAAAGCGCGCGUAGGCGGUUUUUUAAGUCUGAUGUGAAAGCCCACGGCUCAACCGUGGAGGGUCAUUGGAAACUGGAAAACUUGAGUGCAGAAGAGGAAAGUGGAAUUCCAUGUGUAGCGGUGAAAUGCGCAGAGAUAUGGAGGAACACCAGUGGCGAAGGCGACUUUCUGGUCUGUAACUGACGCUGAUGUGCGAAAGCGUGGGGAUCAAACAGGAUUAGAUACCCUGGUAGUCCACGCCGUAAACGAUGAGUGCUAAGUGUUAGGGGGUUUCCGCCCCUUAGUGCUGCAGCUAACGCAUUAAGCACUCCGCCUGGGGAGUACGACCGCAAGGUUGAAACUCAAAGGAAUUGACGGGGACCCGCACAAGCGGUGGAGCAUGUGGUUUAAUUCGAAGCAACGCGAAGAACCUUACCAAAUCUUGACAUCCUUUGACAACUCUAGAGAUAGAGCCUUCCCCUUCGGGGGACAAAGUGACAGGUGGUGCAUGGUUGUCGUCAGCUCGUGUCGUGAGAUGUUGGGUUAAGUCCCGCAACGAGCGCAACCCUUAAGCUUAGUUGCCAUCAUUAAGUUGGGCACUCUAAGUUGACUGCCGGUGACAAACCGGAGGAAGGUGGGGAUGACGUCAAAUCAUCAUGCCCCUUAUGAUUUGGGCUACACACGUGCUACAAUGGACAAUACAAAGGGCAGCGAAACCGCGAGGUCAAGCAAAUCCCAUAAAGUUGUUCUCAGUUCGGAUUGUAGUCUGCAACUCGACUACAUGAAGCUGGAAUCGCUAGUAAUCGUAGAUCAGCAUGCUACGGUGAAUACGUUCCCGGGUCU